rnacentral:rRNA from 1 species
GACGAACGCUGGCGGCGUGCUUAACACAUGCAAGUCGAACGGUGAAGCGCCUUCCUUUUUGGUGGGUGUGGAUGAGUGGCGAACGGGUGAGUAACACGUGAGUAACCUGCCCCCUUCUUCUGGAUAACCGCAUGAAAGUGUGGCUAAUACGGGAUAUUCUGGGUCUGUCGCAUGAUGGGUCUGGGAAAGAUAUUGUUUCGGUGGGGGAUGGGCUCGCGGCCUAUCAGCUUGUUGGUGGGGUGAUGGCCUACCAAGGCGGUGACGGGUAGCCGGCCUGAGAGGGUGGACGGGCAGACAGGGACAGAGGCCCCGGCCAGACGCCGGAGGGAGGAGGCGGGGGGGGAUGUUGCAGAAUGGGGGGAAGGCCGAUGCAGGCAGGGCGCGUGAAGGAUGGUGGCCGUCGGGUUGUGAACCUCUUUCGCCAGUGAAGCAGGCCUGCCUCGUGUGUGGGUGGGUUGACGGUAGCUGGAUAAGAAGCGCCGGCUAACUACGUG